CUCCCAGUAAUGUGUCUGAGUGUAUAACAGAGCUCCACAGCAAUAAUACUCCCAGUAAUGUGACUGAGUGUAUAACAGCGCUCCACAGCAAUAAUACUCCCAGUAAUGUGUCUGAGUGUAUAACAGCGCUCCACAGCAAUAAUACUCCCAGUAAUGUGUCUGAGUGUAUAACAGCGCUCCACAGCAAUAAUACUCCCAGUAAUGUGUCUGAGUGUAUAACAGAGCUCCACAGCAAUAAUAUUCCCAGUAACGUGUCUGAGUGUAUAACAGCUCCACAGCAAUAAUACUCCCAGUAAUGUGUCUGAGUGUAUAACAGAGCUCCACAGCAAUAAUAUUCCCAGUAACGUGUCUGAGUGUAUAACAGAACUCCAC